UGAAAACCCAUAAGAUCGCUGUAAAUAUUUAUUUUUUAUAUAUUUCGGAUCAAUUAGCACAGUCAUACUUGUUUUUCGAAGACUUUUCGAUGUUACGUUUGAUAUGAAAAACAUAUCAAAUUAAUACGCAUUUAUAUUAAAAUGAUGCAAAAUCAUAUCAAUUAAAAAUGUUGAUAUGAAUCCGUAUCAUAUUGAUAUGAAUUCGUAUCAAUUUGAUAUGUAAAGGGUGAUAUGUGAAAAUUGAGGAGACAAUAUCAAACGGGUAUUGUUCCGUUUUUUUCUCUGUGUACUUAUAUACAUUCCGACGGAUCUAGUAAACCCAUUUACUCUACGAGUAACAGGUAUAAAUAGUGAUGCUCGUUCUACGAUUUUGGAAAAAUGUUGUUGCUCUCUGCCGCCUAUUUUACAUCACGACAUCUAUAACGACUUUUUUUUAAUGCGUUUCCGAAAUUACGACUGGGCGUACAAAUUACUCACACAGAUGAAAGACAAAAUGUCAUUGUAUUUCGUGCCGACCGCUGCAGCUUGGUUGACUUUCUAGUGGAAUGCCCAUAUGUGUAUGAAAAUGUUAGAAAAAUGAAAACACCCCAGCCCUAAGUUCGGAAACGCAUUCCAAAAAAAAUAGUUCUAGGUCGCAGUUAUUUUUACACAAAACGGCACGCAUUUAAAUUUUUCAAGGCAAAUGUGCGUGCUAGGUGCAGUCCAUUGCUGGGUCGUCUGUAUGUGUUAAAAUAUGAUCAUCCUGGAUCAUUUUGCUGAGAAUGUAAAUAACAGCAAUGAAAUCCGAAGGUUUGCAAAGGUGUUUUUUUACGAUCGUUUUUCGGUAAUGUUUUCUUGACAAACGAAUAAUAAAGACAAAAGGGAACAUGUAAAAAAAGCACACGGUUUUGUUGCUUUCUGCCAACAAUUUUACAUCAACAUUUUCACAGAAUCUCAAAAAAGGGAUGGGCACACCAAGGACUGGACUGAGUAAUUAAUAAAUGUACAAAAAUAAGAAGGAAGCAGCAACUCCCCGUACAGAGGAGGCGACAUUCCGUUAAAAAAUUAGUUGCGUUCUUAAAUAUUAAAAUAAAAAAAUAUGAAAUUAAAAA